rnacentral:misc_RNA from 1 species
UCUCUCUCUUUCUCUCUCUCUUCAUGAAUUUAUUCUAGCAAUUGCUUAUUUCGUCAAAACUGAAUUUGAUUCCUGCUAAUUUUCUUGCCUUUUGUUUUCUUAUUUUUUAAAGCUUAGGAUUCUGUUUGCAUCUAUUGGUUUUGUCAUUCCUCUGAAAUUCAUUUGUGUCGUCUCUUUUGUUGCCUAGAAAGGUGGAAUGUUAGUUUUUUUCCCCCAAUUUCAUGAUUUUGUAAUGUUGGUUAACUUCUGGUGUAUAGGUAUUCUUUAAAUGGAUGCUGAAAUUUUGUGGGAUCAGAGGCUUUUGUCACUUUGAGAUGUUCCUUGACUAAAGCAAUAGCAUGGAAACAGCACCACCAAGUGAAGUUUGGAAUAAACUGUUUUUGCAUCAUGGUUCAACUAACUACAAAUCUGCACCUAACAGCAUUUGGAUAGCAGAUUUUGAGCCGGUAAAGGUACUAGAUGGCUGUUUAAGUUACACACCUGGAGUCUCUUAAUUUCAAAGGACUAAAAAUCUACAAAUAGUUGAUAUUUUCAUAGUUUAGAAUGAGCUUAAUUUUGCAUUAGUGCAUUUCAAGUACAGUUUAUACUUAGUUACUUGAUUGUGAUAGAAAAAGUUUAGAAUUGCUACUACCUGUGAAGCUCUGUUUAGCAAGGUAAUUCAUUCCCUAACAGGUGAUGCAGCACAGGAAAACAUAAGGCAUCCCAAGUCAAUAGCAAACAUAUAAAUGCUUCUGUCAUGCCCCUUUGUCCUUCCCACUAAAAGAAAUAUAUAGUAGUUAAAGAAAUGGUUUUUUAAUGACUAUAUAUAUUUGUAAAAUAUGUGGAAGUAUCCUCUCUAAGCUUGGUUGUCCAUCCAACUGACCGAAUAAUAUGGCUUGAGGGGACCAUGCGAUUUCCAUUCUCAGUUGUGGCUAAUUGUCCUUGUAGCGAAGAUGUUGCCUUUAGAUUUCUCAACACUUACACCAUUCAAUUUGCAUGGAAAAACUUAUUUUUCUUUCUCCAUGGGGAAAAAAACAUUUGCUUUUGGGAGUUUGGUAUUUUUUGGCACAACUGCAUACAAACACUCUAAUGUGGCAUGCAUCUGGAGAUUGAUUUAGUGCUGCUGUUUGUUGAGAGAACAAGGAAAGCCCUUUUAUUCUGUGUCAGUUCUUCAUUUCUACCUUCUAGUUUGUCUCAGUAACAUUUUAGCAUCCUUUUCUAAUUCCAGCCAGCAAGGGAACCUUGUCUCCUGGUUUUGCCCUUUCUUUUUGCAAGAUAUUCUAAAAUAGAAAAUUG